rnacentral:lncRNA from 1 species
AAAGGGCACAUGUGGGGUCUGCCAGACUCAGGUGCUCGAGGCCCGUCCCUUUGCUCUUGCUCUCUCUCUCUCUAAACCCAGGGGGGCUUACAGGGAGGGAGAGCAUGGUGGGACAGGUGCUGACAUGGUGGCCCUGGCUACAGGACAUCCGGAACACAGUGGGCAAUGUGCCCCUUGAGUGGUACGAGGACUUCCCGCAUGUGGGCUAUGACCUGGAUGGCAGGCGCAUCUACAAGCCCCUGCGGACCCGGGAUGAGCUGGACCAGUUUCUGGAUAAGAUGGACGAUCCUGACUUCUGGUCAGUGGGCCUCUGGGUGGGGCCUGGGGAGUGUCUGGAAGCAAGGGCUUUGGCUCUAAACUGGCCGUCCCCCAGGCGCACGGUGAAGGACAGGAUGACAGGGCAUGACCUGCGGCUGACGGAUGAGCAGGUGGCCCUGGUGCAGCGGCUACAGCGAGGCCAGUUUGGGGAUGUGAGCUUCAACCCUUAUGAGGUAGGUUGGGACAGCUGGCCCUGGGGAUCUGGAGCUGGGCUGGGCCCCUGCCUGGACACCACACCUGUCUCCCUAGCCGGCUGUGGACUUCUUCAGCGGGGACAUCAUGAUCCACCCAGUGACCAACCGCCCUGCCGACAAACGCAGCUUCAUCCCGUCCCUGGUGGAGAGAGAGAAGGUG